CUACAUUAAGUAGUGACUGCGUACCUUUUGUAUAAUGGGUCAGCGAGUUAAUUUAUUGAGCAAGCUUAAGCCGUUAGGUGUAGGCGAAGCGAAAGCGAGUAUGAAUAGUGCGAUUUAGUUCGAUGGAUUAGACCCGAAACCGGGUGAUCUAGCUAUGGGCAGGUUGAAGGUGCGGUAACACGCACUGGAGGACCGAACCCACGUCUGUUGAAAAAGACGGGGAUGACCUGUGGCUAGGGGUGAAAGGCCAAUCAAACCCGGAGAUAGCUGGUUCUCCGCGAAAACUAUUUAGGUAGUGCGUUAUAUAUUACUGCCGGGGGUAGGAGCACUGGAUGGGCGUAGGGGGGCGGCGAGCCUUACCAAACCUAACUAAACUCCGAAUACCAGUAAGUAGAGCAUAGCAGACAGUCCAUGGGUGCUAAGGUCCUUGGACGAGAGGGAAAGAGCCCAGACCACCAGCUAAGGUCCCUAAAUUGUGGCUAAGUGGGAAAGGAUGUGGAAAGACCAAGACAGCCAGGAGGUUGGCUUAGAAGCAGCCAUCCUUUAAAGAAAGCGUAACAGCUCACUGGUCUAAAUAAGCCGGUCUGCGCCGAAGAUGUAACGGGGCUAAAGCCAUACACCGAAGCUGUGGAUGCCGUAAGGCAUGGUAGCGGAGCGUUCUGUAAGCCGCUGAAGGUAAUAUGUGAGUAUUAUUGGAGGUAUCAGAAGUGAGAAUGCUGACAUGAGUAGCGAUAAAGAGUGUGAGAAACACUCUCGCCGAAAGCCCAAGGGUUCCUGCGCAAGGUUAAUCCACGCAGGGUUAGUCGGCCCCUAAGAUAAGUGCGAAAGCAGUAGUCGAUGGGAACACGGUUAAUAUUCCGUGACCUGAUGGUAGUGACGGAUGAUGUAAAUUGUAAAUACUUAUCGGAUUGUAUUUGCAGUGAAAUCGUCCCAGGAAAUAGCUCCAUCAUUAAGACCGUACCCGAAACCGACACAGGUGGGCAGGUAGAGAAUACCAAGGCGCUUGGGAGAAUGAUGUUGAAGGAACUCGGCAAAAUGCACCCGUAACUUCGGAAUAAGGGUGGCCUGCUCUGGGCAACCAGAAACAGGUAGCAUAAAAUAGGGGGUAGCGACUGUUUAUUAAAAACAUAGGGCUCUGCAAAGUGGCAACACGACGUAUAGGGUCCGACGCCUGCCCGGUGCUGGAAGGUUAAGAGGAGUUGUGCAAGCAGCGAAUUGAAGCCCCAGUAAACGGCGGCCGUAACUAUAACGGUCCUAAGGUAGCGAAAUUCCUUGUCGGGUAAGUUCCGACCUGCACGAAUGGCGUAACGACUUCCCCGCUGUCUCCAACACCAACUCAGCGAAAUUGAAUUCCCCGUGAAGAUGCGGGGUACCCGCGGUCAGACGGAAAGACCCCGUGCACCUUUACUAUAGCUUUGCAGUGGCAUCAGGAAGCCGAUGUGCAGGAUAGGUGGGAGGCUUGGAACUUGUGGCGCUAGCUGCAAGGGAGUCAUCCUUGAGAUACCACCCUUCCUCGCUUUGUUGUCUAACCAUGAUUAGUUAUCCUAAUCUGGGACCCUGCAUGGUGGGUAGUUUGACUGGGGCGGUCGCCUCCUAAAUGGUAACGGAGGCGCGCGAAGGUAGGCUCAAGCCGGUCGGACAUCGGCUGUGGAGUGUAAUGGCAUA
rnacentral:rRNA from 1 species